CCAAUAGCGUAUAUUAAAGUUGUUGCAGUUAAAAAGCUCGUAGUUGAAUUUCGGGAUUAGUACGUUGGUCGUGCCUUGGUACGUACUGGUGUAACUGAUUCCUCCCUUCUGACGAACCGUUAUGCCAUUAAUUUGGUGUGGCGGGAAAUCAGGACUGUUACUUUGAAAAAAUUAGAGUGUUUAAAGCAGGCUCGCGCUUGAAUACAUUAGCAUGGAAUAAUGAAAUAGGACGUUAAUCCUAUUUUGUUGGUUUCUAGGAUCGACGUAAUGAUUAAUAGGGAUAGUUGGGGGCAUUAGUAUUCAAUUGUCAGAGGUGAAAUUCUUGGAUUUAUUGAAGGCUAACUACUGCGAAAGCAUUUGCCAAGGAUAUUUUCAUUAAUCAAGAACGAAAGUUAGGGGAUCGAAGACGAUCAGAUACCGUCGUAGUCUUAACCAUAAACUAUGCCGACUAGGGAUCGGAUGAUGUUAAUUUUUUAAUGACUCAUUCGGCGCCUUACG
rnacentral:misc_RNA from 1 species